rnacentral:rRNA from 1 species
GCAGUCGAGCGCACCGCAAGGUGAGCGGCAGACGGGUGAGUAACGCGUGGGAAUCUACCCAACCCUACGGAAUAACCCAGGGAAACUUGGACUAAUACCGUAUACGCCCUUUUGGGGAAAGAUUUAUCGGGGAUGGAUGAGCCCGCGUUGGAUUACCUAGUUGGUGGGGUAAAGGCCUACCAAGGCGACGAUCCAUAGCUGGUCUGAGAGGAUGAUCAGCCACAUUGGGACUGAAACACGGCCCAAACUCCUACGGGAGGCAGCAGUGGGGAAUAUUGGACAAUGGGCGCAAGCCUGAUCCAGCCAUGCCGCGUGAGUGAUGAAGGCCUUAGGGUUGUAAAGCUCUUUCAGUAGGGAAGAUAAUGACGGUACCUACAGAAGAAGCCCCGGCUAACUUCGUGCCAGCAGCCGCGGUAAUACGAAGGGGGCUAGCGUUGUUCGGAAUUACUGGGCGUAAAGCGCACGUAGGCGGACAUUUAAGUCAGGGGUGAAAUCCCGGGGCUCAACCUCGGAACUGCCUUUGAUACUGGGUGUCUUGAGUGUGGAAGAGGUCAGUGGAAUUGCGAGUGUAGAGGUGAAAUUCGUAGAUAUUCGCAGGAACACCAAUGGCGAAUGCGGCUGACUGGUCCACAACUGACGCUGAGGUGCGA